CAUGCUGGCCACGUUAGUUUGAUUUCAACUGAUCUUGGAAAUUAAGCAGUUUGGGUCUGUCUAGCAAAGUAAUGGGAGACCAUCUGGAAAUCCCAGGAAACUGGCAAAU
ensembl:rRNA 5S_rRNA 5S ribosomal RNA